GUAGGUGAACCUGCGGAAGGAUCAUUACAGAGAUAGGGUGCCGCCCCUCGCGCGGCGCGCCCCGACCUCCAACCCUUUGCUUACCCGACCUCUUGUUGCUUCGGCAGGCCCGUCCCCCUCACAGGGGACCGCCGGGGGUGCCUCACCGCCCCCUGGCCCGCCGCCUGCCGACGGCCCCAACCUAAAAAACUCUUGUUUAUAAAACGUGUCGUCUGAGUUUGUUAUAAACCAAUAACUAAAAACUUUCAAC
rnacentral:misc_RNA from 1 species